GACGAACGCUGGCGGCGUGCUUAACACAUGCAAGUCGAACGGAAAGGCCCUGCUGUUGUGGGGUGCUCGAGUGGCGAACGGGUGAGUAACACGUGAGUAACCUGCCCUUGACUUUGGGAUAACUUCAGGAAACUUGGGCUAAUACCGGAUAGGAGCUCCUGCUGCAUGGUGGGGGUUGGAAAGUUUCGGCGGUUGGGGAUGGACUCGCGGCUUAUCAGCUUGUUGGUGGGGUAGUGGCUUACCAAGGCUUUGACGGGUAGCCGGCCUGAGAGGGUGACCGGGGACAUUGGGACUGAGAUACGGCGCAGAGUGCUACGGGAGGCAGCAGUGGGGAAUAUUGCACAAUGGGCGGAAGCCUGAUGCAGCGACGCCGGGUGCGGAAUGACGGCCUUCGGGUUGUAAACCGCUUUCGCCUGUGACGAAGCGUGAGUGACGGUAAUGGGUAAAGAAGCACCGGCUAACUACGUG
rnacentral:rRNA from 1 species